CGGCCAAGUGUUCGCCAGCUGAGAGGGGCGGGCGCUAUAGUAGCCACGCCUCUCCCCAGCGGUAUUUAGCUCGCUCCGCCCGGGGCCGGAAGCCCAAGCGUCUCGGGGACGUCCUGCGGCCACGCCCUUUCUCCGAGCUCUUGGCCAGGCUAAGCGGUCUUGGAGCCCGCCCCGCGGCCUGCGUAAGGAGAGCGCCCUCCAGCCUCGUCUCUUAGCGGGCGGGACCCUGAGACGCUUGCCUUUGAGUGGAAGGCGGGAGAAUGGCGGAUUCCUCAGAGCGGGACGCAGGGAAGCCUGCAGCCGCUGGUGCUUGUGCUGUUCCCAAGACAAAGGGAAGAAGAGUGCAAGGAGGAAGAGUGGUGGAGUCCCGGUGUCUGCAAUAUGACAAGAAAACUAAAAAGGUAAUGAAGUCCUUUACUCCUAGAGCCACUGUGAGUGUGUGAGGUGGAGGGCACAUGGGCAGUCACAGUCUGAUCCUGGAGGAUGACACCUUUGGGGACUUUGCCAGGUCCAGGCUUAGACACAGUGAUGAGUCUGGUGAGUGUAGCAUCAACCUUCAUCAAUCUCCACAGUCUCUGGUCCCUGCAUCUCUUCAUUGCCCCUCUUGCUUUUGGGGCCUCUA